GGCUAUGAGAGCAAUGUGACCCUCACUGGUCUCCAGGAUUGAUGGAGCUGAUCUGGCUGGCUAGCCAAGUGAAUGCAUCUUAGCACAUCGCUCCAUCUUCUUUCCCACAGCUUCAUGCUCCCUGGGAGAGAACAGGCUUCCCAAAUUGAGGAAAAUUCAGUCAAGGAUGUCGGAAUGGCUGUGAACCUCCAAACAAGAUCUUGAGAAUGUAACAUGGCUAAGCGCCCACAGUACUA
rnacentral:sRNA from 1 species